rnacentral:rRNA from 1 species
AACCUCCGCAAUGUGAGAAAUCGCGACGGGGGGAUCCCAAGUGCCAUUCUUAACGGGAUGGCUUUUCUUAAGUGUAAAAAGCUUUUGGAAUAAGAGCUGGGCAAGACCGGUGCCAGCCGCCGCGGUAACACCGGCAGCUCUAGUGGUAGCUGUUUUUAUUGGGCCUAAAGCGUUCGUAGCCGGUUUGAUAAGUCACUGGUGAAAUCCUGUAGCUUAACUGUGGGGAUUGCUGGUGAUACUGUUGAACUUGAGGUCGGGAGAGGUUAGCGGUACUCCCAGGGUAGAGGUGAAAUUCUGUAAUCCUGGGAGGACCACCUGUGGCGAAGGCGGCUAACUGGAACGAACCUGACGGUGAGGGACGAAGGCUAGGGGCGCGAACCGGAUUAGAUACCCGGGUAGUCCUAGCCGUAAACGAUGCGGACUUGGUGUUGGGAUGGCUUUGAGCCGCUCCGGUGCCGAAGGGAAGCUGUAAGUCCGCCGCCUGGGAAGUACGGUCGCAAGACUGAAACUUAAAGGAAGU